rnacentral:rRNA from 1 species
AAUUUUGGACAAUGGGGUAACCCCUGAUCCAGCCUUCACGAGUGCAGGAUUAAGGCCUUCGGGUUUUAAAGUACUUUUGGCAGAGAAGAAAAGGUAUCUCCUAAUACGAGAUAUUUCUGACGGUAUCUGCAGCAUAAGCACGGGCUAACGUCUUGCCAGCAGCCGCGGUAAUACGUAGGGUGCAAGCGUUAAUCGGAAUUACUGGGCGUAAAGCGUGUGUAGGCGGUUCGGAAAGAAAGAUGUGAAAUCCCAGGGCUCAACCUUGGAACUGCAUUUUUAACUGACGAGCUAGAGUAUGUCAGAGGGGGGUAGAAUUCAACGUGUAGCAGUGAAAUGCGUAGAUAUGUGGAGGAAUACCGAUGGCGAAGGCAGCCCCCUGGGAUAAUACUGACGCUCAGACACGAAAGCGUGGGGAGCAAACA